CCCACGACUUUCCCUUCUCUCUACACAACAAUUACAACCUACAAAGCCUAGAGAGAGAGUUCUAUAACGACAAUGGCGGUGGUUAACCAACCGGUGUUCUGAUGUUCGCUUCUGUUGCUGCUUAUAGUCGUCGUCGCCACCACCGGUGCCGGUCAGGAAGAGAUGGAAUCUAAUCUCAGGUGUGAUGAUUUUUUCCCUCAUUGAAUGAUAUGUUCUUUUGCCUGUUGAUUUCUUAAUUUUAGUUUUUUUUCCCUCAUUGAAUGAUAUGUUCUUUUGCCUGUUGAUUUCCCUCAUUGAAUGAUAUGUUCGUCGACACCACCGGUGCCGGUCAGGAAGAGCAAAGGAGUCUGAAGCCUUGAAUGAGAGUGCGUUCAAGACCCUGAAGAGUGUCCAUGGUAGAAAUGAGCAUGAGAAACAGCACUGAAAGAAGGAAACUAGGACUGGUGGAGGUGUGACCCGAACUGGCAAAAGAACCGCAAGCGCCUUGUAGACUGUGGUAACGGUUUUGGGCGGAAUGCCAUUGGAGGCCGUGAGAGCCGGUUUUACAUGGUCACGGAUUCUGGAGACGA